CGGGCGUGCGCCGAAGUAGCCUCCUAUUGGCUGCCCGCUCGGGGCCUGGCGGGCACUCCGGCACGUGAUUGGCCGGCGCUGCCCCUGCGGGCCGAGCUCAUUGGCGGGCGCGGGGCCGGGGGCGGGGCGGGCCCCAGGAUUCCCGAGCGCGCGGCGGGGCCGGAGCGGGCGCCCGGCCGGAGCCGACCUGACGGCGGGCGCGGAGGGAGGGUGGGCGGCGGUCCCGGCCCGGCUGGGCGAGGCGGCGCUGGCGGCGCAGCCGAGUGUCGGGCGGCACGGCCCGCGGCGGCGCUUCGGCCGCGUCCGUCAGCGCCCCCUCCCUCCGCGCGCGGCGGCCCCGGCCGGCCCGUCAGCUGUCAGCGGCCGAGCGGCGGGACAAAGACCCGCCGCGGCCGGGACGGCGCCGGCCUCCGCCCGCCGGCCGCGGACAAUGCGGCUCCCGGGCGCCCGCCCGCGCGCGGGCCCAGAAGUUGGCGGCGUCUCCUCGGCGGCGGCCCGCGCUGUGGCGGCGGGAGGCCGGCGCGGGCGCGGCGAGGGGCGGCCGCAGGUGAGCGCCCGGGCGCAGCCCUGGAGAAUUGCUGUUGAAGAGGGACAAGAGAGGAGGACAACGCAGGAGGAGAUAAGUAGCUCUGGCUGGACACAAGGGCAGGUCACAGCACUCGAUAGUCGUUGUGGAACAGGGAAAGGGCCGGGAGGAGGCUGCAGCCUGCAGGGCCGGCUGAUAGCGCGAGCUCCUCCUGGAUCUCCCUGGCUCAGGAGCUGUCUCCCCUCCCCUCCUCCCUUUUUGUACCGCCUUAUUGAGUUGUUGACACCCAACUGAUCGUUCUCAACAGUGUUGAGAAACACUGAUUUUGUGGUCUGCCUUAAAGUUUUAGUCCUUGUUUUACAUUUUAAUAUUGGUGCAUCUCAACCUUGCAGGGGCCUAGAGGUGGCAGCUGUCUCUCCUCAUGGGAUCUAGCUGUUGGAAUUAUUGAGAGAAAGGAUUUCUGUUUUUGACCCCAUAGGAAUAGAUCCAGAAUUCAACCCCAAAUUUGCCUUCUCAGAGAAGUAUAUGCCGUCUAGACUUGGGGACAUGAUCAGAGGCCCCUGCCCCUGACUUUUAAAAUUACCUUUACUUUCUAGAGCUCUUAUACUUUCCAAAGUGCUUUUUCUCACAUCAGCUCACUUGUUCUUACAACAGCCCUGUAAAGUAUUAUUAAUAUUACUAGGCAGACAGCUCUGAGGCACCUGAAGUAUUUCUCUCUCCCCACCUCCAUUCUCUCUUGCAAAACUAUUGCUAGGCUAGUCUUUGCUAUCUUUACAUCAGUUUUCUAAAAUCAAAAUCCUUCGAUCGCUCUCUGUUUGUCCUCCUAUCAGAUUGAACCCCCUCUGCCUAGGUUAUACUGUGGCCUUAAAACCAGGGUCUAAUCCUACUCUAAACCCUUUCUCACCACAGUUCCUGGAAUAAGGCUGACUGUGCCUCAGCCCGCGUGCUUCCCUCAGUAGCGAUGCCUCCUCUCAGACCACCCGUCUGCCUAUUCUUUAGCAUCUGACUCCCCCUUGGAGCCUGCCCAGAUCAUUAACACCUUAAAGAUCCCAUCUUCCUCUGAAUUCCCAUGGUUGCCAUGGCUAUUUGGUCAAUUAUAAUGUGGUUUUAAAGGCCUAAUAGAGAAAAUGUAUAGGAUAGACUUGAUAUAGGGAAGAAAGCACUGAACUAAGUGGGUUGUAAAGACGAUGUCUACUGAGCAGCUGUGGGCUCCAAGUAAGGUUGCUCUGCAUUUGUGGUUCUAUGUUUCCUGAACUGUGAACGUGGAGAGGUUUGGGCCAGGUGAUGCUGAUGGUCCCUUCUCCUUCUGAGGUUCUGUGACAACUUGGUCUUCCUUAUGUGGGAUGGGGUUCGGGCUCUUAUGGAGUUCUUGAAUGAAAGUGUCAGGAAUGAGCACUCAGUGCCUUCAGGACUGGUUCUAUUCCAAAGAUUGCUAAUGCUAAACUUGACAAUCUUUGAAUGCCAUGUGCCUUUUUUGGUAGGCAUUUUAGCCACAAGCAUUCAGGGAAGGUAGCGGGAUGAUGAAUUAGGAACAACAAAGGGUUAUCCUUGUGAAUGACUUCGUAUGAUGGAAUAGAUAAGGUCAACUAUUGGAUAAAUCUAAGUCUUAGCAUUUAUAAUUUACUUUGCAUUUCAUCUUCACUGGAUGGUGCUAUAUAAUAAAUGCAGUUAUGUUUUCCUUUUGCUCAUUUCAUGACUUGGAAACAUUAAAAUAGUCAAAACUCUAGGAUAGAUGCUGAUGACUUUCUGUAAUGAUCUGGUUGGUCACAUGUUGUAAGGAUGCAUAUGCAUGUACAUGUAUUACAUGCACAUUUUGCUUGAAUUAAGAAGGGUACUCCUAAGUUAUGAGGUGCUAUUGUACAUUGACCAGACUUAAGGAUCUCUCUUUAAAGUGUGUUGACAUUUAAUUGACCUUUGAAGGUUCACUCUGUUAAUCAUACUCAGAAUGCUGAAGCUGUGGUUGGCUGCUCUGGUGUUUUACAUCCAGGCAUGCUCAGCAUAUAAAUUCUUCGGCAUAAUUGCUGCUUAUUUAGCAAGAGUUUCCUUUCUUCUCUGAAAAUGUGAGUUGUGUUUUAUUUUUGUAUCUUUUUCUUUUUUAAACUUUGCUUCAGGCUGGAUAGUUUUAGAGGUUUGAAUUGAAAUCCUUUCCUGUCAUUAGUUGUAUGGGGUGUGGUCUCUUAAUAUAGGACUAAUGGAAAUUUCUUGCUUAGUUGAAGUGUACUCUUCUUCUGGCAGAAGUUAGAACUCUUUGAGGUAUAAUGCUAAAAUUUAGAGAAGCUUAACACUUCAACACUACAUAUUUUUAACCUGAUAAACUUUUGAAAAUCUUUCAGUUCCAUUUUUGUAGAUUAAAACUAUCAGUGCUAAUACUUUUUAUUAAGCCAGGAUUCAAAGGAUCUAUUUCCAUAGCAUACUUUAAUUAUAUUCCUUGAAUUGCCAUGAGUGGAAUUUUAUUUUAUUAUAAACGAUGUAUUUAUUUUUAAAAAGUCAAAUAUAUUUCUUUUUUAAAGCUUAACAUUUUAUUACCAUCACCUAGAGAACAUCUGCUGAAAUGUUUGAAAAUUUCUGGGUAUUAAGUUUACAAAAUCAGCCUGGAAAUAAUUUUUAAUAUAGUUAGCUUUCUUACAGGUUUCUAAAAUAUUUCUAAUGAUCACUGAAAAGUAGCUACACUUUUUGCUAAAUGUUGAUAGAAAAAUAAAAACAUGUGAUUACCAAAUUUUGAUAAUUUAUCUUUGAGACUCCAGACACUUUUUAAAAAUAUUUUUAUCUUAAAAACAAUUUUUAAAUAGGGAAGAUAAAAUUUAAACCAGAGUUUUUUUUCAUGAGGUGAUUUUAUACUGUUAAAAUACCUAGCUCCAUAUUCGAGAUGCAUUUUGUUCCCUGUUCAAAAGUCUCAUGCCGUGAUAUCAUUAGUGUGUUUACACACUGCAAGCUUGGUAGAUGGGCUCGUGCAUGAAGCUGACCUUAUUUCUCAUCACCACCUCUCCUUCCAUGUUGCCCUAUCUUUUUUCCUGUCUUUCUGUUCCCAGUUUUACAACUUAUAGUUGUCCUUUUCAUUUCAUUAUAACCCCACCACUAAAGGAAAAUAAGUCUUUUCCCUUAGUCCAAACAUUUAACUACAAACUCCAUCCUGUUUUAGAAUACACAAUGAAGCCUCUUAAAUACUAUUAUCUAAAUAAUAUGUAAAGAAUGCAAAUGACGGCAAUGCUGAACAGUCAGAUACAGGAUAUCCCAGACUAAGGAUGAUGAACUCUCACACUUCUAUUUUGUGAAUUGUGACUUGAGCAGAUAGAUUUCUUUCUUUCUGUAUAACUAAGUGUCUCAGGACCAGGCCAGAAUUGGUUAAGUACAGAAUGUUAAGAUAAAGCCUGGUUUCUCCGGUAAUCUGUCUUGGUAAUUAUACUGAACUGAUGACACAUAUUGACAAAAUCAAUAUAUUUGCUCUUCUUUUCUGUUCGAAGUCUGUUUUGCCAUCAUAAAAAGCUUUCUGCCAUUUGAAUCUGGAUAUGUGUAUUCACAGAUAAUUUAUUUUAUUUAACAAAUUCUUAUAUCAUACUUUCAUGUUCUAACCUUAUUCUAAACACUUUACAGGUAUUAGUUUAUUUAAUCCUCUAGCUCUAUAAUUAUAGUUAUUAUAUAGUUAUUAUCAUUUUUCAAUUAAGAAAACCAAGGCACAGAGAUUUAUUUUAGAGUAGGCCCUUAAGUGAUGAGAGACUGCUAAGUGUGGGCCGAAUGGAUAGCUUAACAGUCAUGCUAAGAAUCAACAAAAAGAUGUGCAGGAGUUUUGGGAAGAUGAGUCUUCAUAGAAAGAGUCAGGGACUCAGCCGGGCCCAAUCUUAGAGAGCAACACAUCUUCCCUCCUUGGUUUUAAGCCUUGGGCUAUAUAGAGGCCAAACUUAGAAAGGAGGCACUCAGUCCUAAGACGUGGUCAUUGCUGUGGGCUUCAGCAGCCUCUGGGCCUGAUGAGGGGCUGUGCUGGCUCACUGUGCCUCGCGUAUGGCUGCACACAUUGCAAAUACCGGUGCAGGUGGAGAAUCUCCUCUCCCAGCCUCAACGCCAGCCAGCCCACCACAUUCUCCUUCUUGCCCUGCUUUCUUUGUGUAUUCCUUUGCAAAUAUUGUUCAGUAGUGUUUACGUAUGUGUAUUGUAUGAGGUUUAGAGAACCAUGUUAAGCAAUGAAGUUAAAGGACAAAGCUAUGUUUUCUCUUGGAAUUGGGGAUGGAAGAAAAUGAGAGAACAGGUAAAAGUAGGAAAUACGGAGAAAGGAGGAGACAUCAUGGAAAAGAAGAGAGAUACUGAGGGAAAAAAUGGUGAAAAAACAAGGAAGAAAGAAAAUUACUGAUUUGCUUUACACCCACAGCCCCUCCCCAGCUUCCUUUUCUUUGCCUGACCUGAGGUUCCUGGGGUGUUCUGCACUGUGGGAGUGGAAAAUUUCUCCCUUUCGCAUUUGAGACUUGGGUGUGCUGCCUUGAGAUGCCACGGGUAUCUGAGUAAUAUUUGUUUAUACUGGGUAUUUUUCUCUGUAGUCUUUGUGGAUGGGUCUCAGAAUACAAACAACACUGUUAGCAGAGCUGCAGGUACUCGAUUGCUAUGUUUAUUUUAUUAGUUAAAAAACUGCCAGAGCCCUAGGACUCCUGAGCACAUUUUAAAAAUACCAGAGGCAUUUUUAAGAAGCGCUUUAGAAAGAAAGAAAAAAUAAGAAGAAAAGUUAGGACUUUCAGACUCUGGAAUGCUGACCAACGUGGUAGGGUUUUUUUUAUUGUUUUCAAAGACUCUAUAUUAGGGUCUUUUCAUCAACUAUUUUUUAAAAGUGGGUUUUUAAGUAUGAUACUUUUGUUCCACAGGAUGUAAAACUAAAGUUAAUUCUUUAGGGAAUUUAGGAUUUUUUUGAAUCCACUUAAAUCAUCUCUAAUGACUUUUCUUGGUCAGAUCACAGGUCUGAAAGUAUUUCCUACUGAUUUGUGAUUGUAUUGGGACAGAAUCAUUGAAAUUGUGACACUUCCAGAAAAUCCAAAAUAUAUGGCCAGUUUUACCCUUAAACUUUCUGAUAAUUCAUUUUUGGGCCCCUGAAGUCUCUCUCUUUAUCUUGCUCUCUGUAGAAAGGUACACUAUUCAGUAGCAUUUGUGAAAAACACCCAGUUUAAAUAACAAAAUGUUGAGCUAAUCUAAAUGAUAAAAGUAUUGAUUUGAAGAAAUUAAUUUAUUUUUAAAUAUUCAUUCAUUUCUCAGGUGGAGAAAUGGCCUGGUCUUAACAGGCUUGAUUAGAUUCCCGUCAGUAAAACAAAGUAAACUAAAGAUUUUUUUCCUUGAUCAUUGCAUGACAAUAACAUACUGUUCAAACGUUUCAAGAAUCUCUAAUUAAUUUAGCCUUAGGGAAUAGCAAGGGGGAAAGGGACUUUUCUUUCUCAUUUGUCCUUUUUUUCAUUUAUCCAUUCCUUCCCCUACUUGUCUAUCCUGUCUUAUAAUCAUGGAAAUUUUUAUUUUCUCCCACUGUUCCUUAAAUGUUCCCCAUUUGUACAUCCUAGAUUACCACCACACCAAGUUUUCUUAGAAUUAGGCAGAAAUGGAAGCUGGACCUUUAGAAGCUUAGGGAAAUCAUCCCAUGUUUUCUCAGACUCUCCUCGCUCCCAAGAGGAGAGGAGAAAAACAGUAGUUGGUUUGUGACUGUUGCUUCUGUGGCUGCCCUAUUUGGUUGACCUCAGCUUUUUUACCUCCUUUCUUAAUGCUUAAAUCUACAAAUGAAAUUAGGGCCAGUCACACUGGUAUUUCCAUCAUCAGCUAUCCCUAGUGGUUCAAAUUUAGUGCAAACCUGCUAUGAGUACAUAUUAAUUAGGUGAAUAAAAUAGGAUGAAAUUACAACAUGAGUUUUUUAAUAACUAUUCUUUGAAUUAAGUGUGGUUUUAUCUUAUGAGUUUACAGUUGUUUUGUUGAAAAUCUAAAAAUAUCCUUAUAUGAGCAACUAAGUUGCUAACAGCCCAUGGUGUGAGUCAAACAUUAACUACAGUAAAACUCUGCUGGAAGUUCUUUACCUUUGAGAUGCAGGGAGCUAUUUCAAGUGAAGUUGCUCAUUCUCUGUGUGGAAUGGUGUGGGGGUCUUGCAACCUGAUUUACAGGUCAAAGUCUGAAUAAGAAUUUCCUUGUCCCUGUUUUCUGUACACUGUGUCACCGAACACCAGGUAUAAAGUACAUGAGCUUCUUUUAUUUUGCUACUUAUAGUCCAAUUCCAGGCCAGACAAUGUCGGAGACAACUAUUCUUCUGUAGAAAGUUUCAGGAGUCAGCUACUAACUACUGUGUCUGUAAAUGUGCUCUCAAACUAUUUUGUAGUCCUGCUAUUUUUAAAAAUGUGUGGGUAUGGGAAGUGAUGGUGAAUUAACUCAGGGUAAUUGGUGCUUCUCUGUAUUAAGAAAAGUCACACUAGUUGAGGAAGCCUGCUUUCAUGAGUUGUGUAUGUUUAAUUUUUUAAAAAUUCAUCCCACCUUUUCCCACUCCAGUUCCCACCCCUACCUCAUAAAUUCAAGCAAUGAAGGAAUUAGAGUCAUAGGAUUUUAUAGCUGGAAGGAUUUUUAGAGAGAAUCUGGUUAACUCUCUUAACUACAGUUGAGGAAAUUGAUGUCCAGUGAGGUCAAAUAAGAUCAUGUAGCUAGUGUAAAAACCUACAUGACAUUAGCAGUUUAUUUCCAUUGGUAAACACUGUUCUGAAUAAUCUGCCCUAACAGGUGCAUAAUCAGAAGGUAAUAUAAGGGGGAAUCACUAACAUCUGUAUGGUUUUCUCAUCCAUAUCUCAGUGGUUUCUCAGAAGAGCUCUGUGAAGUGUAGCUAUCGAGUUUCCAUUCAAGGAGAAAACAGGCUCCUGGACAGUCGGAGACCUGUCCAUGGCAGUCAUCCACCAAAAGGGCCAGUGCUCCCUGUCUUUGCAUCUUGACAGAACUGUCAGCUGGUCUCAAGAAGUUCUCAUGGACAACAGCAUGGGGAAUCACGUCUUCAUAUUAUAGCUUUAGCUCUAAAAUUGGACCAGUUAUUAACUUCUGGUCCAAUCUAUUUCAUCACUUAUAAAGGAGAAAAAAAAAACACGUUUGAAAGAGCUAUGAGCUCAUAAAUUUUUGAAAAGAAAGAUGCUGGAUAAUUGUAAAUAAAACAUAUUUUAAGAAUCUCCUUAUGAAUACAUUGAAACUGCAGGCAGCACAUAUUGAGCACCUCCCAUGUGUAAAGCAUAUUGUGCACUGCGCCAGUAGACCCAGAGAGAUGAGACAGGAUCAUGGCCUUCAGAGAAGAGGCAAACGCAGCCUGCUCUCCCUUCAAAGACUCAUCUAGAUAGAGAACUGUCCUUGAGAAAAGUCUGGUGCCGUCUGCCUUACUCUAGAGACAGGAGAGGUGUUAAUACUUAGGUCUGAAAUGGGUCAGUUUUUUUCCUAAAUAUUUGUAUUAAAGUAUUCACAUUAAACAAAACUUGUAAAAUACAGAAAAAAAGAAAAAUUACAUAUGUAUAUUCUGAAUUUUUUAAAUAAUGGUAUUUAUAUCUUACACAGAGAUUUUUCUUGGCUUUUCUUUAACUUGAUGGGAUAUCUAAAUGUUCUGUAUCAGUGCAUAACUUUGCAAAUAUAUUUUAAUGAUUACAGAAUUUCAGAAGGGAUCAAUUACUAUGUAUGUCAAUAAUCUGGCUAUUUUUCUAUGGCAAUUACUGAUGUUAUUUUACACAAAAUGAUGAAUAAAAGAUUCUAAACUAAGCUUGGCUACUACUAAGAAAUACUUCCUAAAAGUAUUUUUUUUAAAUAAUGAACUAAGUAGAUUACGUUCAAAUCUUUCUUUAAGAGCAUCAAAAUCACUUAAUUUCUUAAACUAUCCAUAGAAAUUUCAAUUUAUGUACAGUUGACCUAAAUUAGAAAUGGAUUUUUUUAAUUGUGAAAUUUAGAAACAAAAACAUUUUUUAAUGCAGUUUCCAUUAUAGUAUUGUGUUCCUCUGAAAUAAUGUCUCAUUACUCUAAAGGUAUAAAUACUAAUCAUGUUGAAUUUUUACUGUAUGGAGCAAUAUAAUCUAAUAGUUUUCAUUUAAAAAACAAGGACUGUAUAAAUUCUGAAUUCUGACAUUAUUCUAAUGAAAUUCAUCUUAAAUUCACCUAAUGUCCCUUUAGAAAUACGAUCUUCUAUUUCAACAGCACUGCGAGGGCAUCCCUGGGUGAGAGCCGCUCCUUGUGAGGAGCCCAGUGGAGCAAGAACCCCUGAAUGGGAGAGCUGAGCCGGCAGGUGGUGGAGGGGUGCAGCCUGGGAAGUGCUGACAAAGAUGUGCCUGGAGGAAGAGAGGGAUGAGGAGUGGGAGGAAAGUCCCUCCUUAGCCUGAUGGCUGGCAUGCCCUGACGCUCUGGAAUCCCCCUCCCUAGAGAGAAUGCCAGCCAAGGUGGGAGAGGAGGGGCUCCCACAGAGGGGGGCGUAGGGUAAUGACUACCAAAAGCUCUCUGAGGAGCUUGGAUAGCUGCUGUCUGGGGAACGCUGGCCUAGGUUGUAAUCAGUAUUAUUUUAAAGCAGAGUUUGGCAAAUGAAUAAAAAUAUGAUGAAUGAAUGAGCGACUGAAUGAAUUGUUUUCUCACCAAAGGAUCUGGAUAUUUGUUUCCACUCUUAAACGUUUUUUCAAUUAUUAAUUUUUUGUGCCCAAUUUACAAUGAAAACACCAUUUUUAUUGAAUUAUCAUUAACUAUUUCAUAUUUAUUCAAACCCACACCUUCCCCAACUCCACAGAUGAUUCAGAAGAGCUUAUAAUAAGCAAAACAUCAGACUAGGAAAGAGAGUGAGAGAAGUGAUUCCACCUCUCCAAGCCCCGUGUCCUCACCUGUGUGCUGAUGGUAAUGUACAUGACUGAUCAUACGUGGAAGGGACACCAUGAGAUCGUGCAUAAAAUGACAUUGCUGGACAUACAACACAAACGAUGUAGUAAAGUUAAGGCUAUAAACUUGAGGACACGGUUUAUCUAGCUUCUCAACUUAUUUCUCAUUACCAUUUUAUUAGAGAAUGUUAAUUGAAUUAAAAAUAUAUUAAUUUCUAGAGUAGAAGAGUUUUUAUUCUUUAUAAUUCUGUAAACUCUAUACUAUCCAAGAUAAUGCUUUGUUCCUAGAAUUUGCAUUUCUUAAUCUCCCAUGUGUCCACAAUCCAUGUGAAAAUGUUCUUUCAGCCUUCAGCCAUUUUUGAGAAGCAAGGACCAGGUAGGUCUAUAUUUCUAAUAAUUACCAAAAAAAAAAAAAUCAAGGGAAAGUUCAUCAUCAUUGCCAUUAGCAAGAAACAUAAUGAGAAUUAGAAGCCUUUGAAUUAGGCUAAAAGCAGUGUGGACUAGUAAGUGUAAAGUAUAAAUAGAAGAAGACGAAGAUUAAUUUUAAAGGGCAGAAUUUUGUACAUUUAUUUUACUUAGAUUUCAGAUCAGUUCUGUGUGUGCUUUCCACAUAAGGAAGCAGAGACCACUGUGUUUCUUGUCUUUGGGUGGGUUUUCUGAAGACAUGAUGAGGGCCAGAUGUCAGCACUGUUGACACAGUUGGCUGGAACCUUGGCCCCCAGAGAGAUGGUGGGUGGAAGGAUGCAGAGCAGAGCCUGCACACUGGGUCCUCUGCUGACAUGAAACACUCCCAUUCCUACAGUCCUACUGCAAGCAUCCAGAGGUCAGCGCAGGUGGCAAUGAGAUGGAUACGGAGAAGUGGGGAGCCAGGGGAAGAAGCAUCCUCGUUCUUUCCUGGGAUAGAGUCAUCUACAUGCACCUUUGCAUUUUCAUGGCCAAAGGAUUGUCCUAGUGUACAUAAAUAAAGUAAUGAUAACUUCCCCAACCUGCUGAUAAGUGCCUAAAAUCUCACCAUUCAAGUAUGGGCCAUUUAAUGUAAAUACUCUGCUAUCUUAAAAUCCGGAGAACUGGGUAUGUGAAUGGAAGGAGAUGGGGGAACUUGAGUGGCUGUAAUAUUUUAAGCUGUUCUUAGUUAUGCAUAGCUUAGGAAAAUGCAUGAUUAUAGAGUCAAUAAGAGGGUUCAAGACUGAGUGGUUUAGGGUAGUUAAGAAAAACUUGAAAACUUUAUCUGGGGCCAGUCUUAAACUGUCCACCACCAGAAUGAAUUAAUCCUUCCAACAGUUAAAACUAAUGUGGGGACGAUUAUAAAACCUGACCAGGGUAUAGACAUGAGAGCUGCACUUUUGGGUGGGGAGACUUAUAGGGACCUUGUGUGACAGGGCUAAGGCAGCCAAGAGUCCUGUGGUUUUGAACUAAGUAAGUAGUUUUCUGUGAGCAUUUCCAGGAUUAGAUCUGACAAAUCAGGGUCUCAUGUAUUGGACAUAAUUGAAUCUUGUUCUACUAUAUUCAUUUUUAAUUCAUGAUUUUUUAAUGGAUUCACUGGUCACGUUUCUCAGGUAGUGGCAAGACUUUUUAGUCUUAAGUAAAUUUAUUUAGUUCUGUCUUUCUGGAUUAGUGGGUCUCUGCCAGGAAGAUACAGCAGGAUCAUUUGAUAGCUUGUGCAGAAUACACACUGAGCACCCUCCCUACCUGAGUGAGCACCGCAGAGGGGAUGGGGCAAGAGGCCAUCCCGGCAUGUGGGUUAGAAGAGCCGUCCUGGUGAUUCUGUUGCCGCCCUCUCAUUUUGGGAAUUGCUGUUCCAAAUGGAACCAAUCCUGCUCAGUUACCAGAAAAUAAGCAAAUAGCUUAAACUACAUAACAGUGAGUCUUGCUUAAACCGACAAAAUUGCUCAGCCCUUGUUGGGAUAGGUCUGCUUUUCCUUUCACACAGAUUUCAUUUAGCUGAUGUCUUGCUAAAAAGCAGCCCAUAUGUACUGGCAGUGAAGCACUGUCGUUAUUAAAUGCCCUUCCACGUAUGAACCCUUGCAAUCAGAUCUUACCAUCUUCCAUGCUUUGUGCAGAAUCUUUUAUGUUUAUUCGUAGAGCUCUGAGCAAAGGGCUGCAUCUUCCAAGUUGUGCUAAGGUUUACUGCCUCUUUCACGUGUUCACUGAAUUGUUAUUUGAGGUUGUACACUUAGUGUGUACUAGUGACUGCUUUUCAUUCUUAAAGUUAUUAUAUAAAAGUGUAAGUUUCUGAGGCUUACACUUGGACAGGAGAUCUGUCACUGUGAGAAAAACUUAUAGGAGUAAAACUAUUUUCUUUUUGUGAACAGUUACUGCUACACAAUGUCUUCACAGGGUGUAGGGCUUGGUAUUUAUCUGUUUUAAUUAAACAGUGCCCUGCCUGUCUACCGGUGACUAACUUGAAAGCAGUGGGUGUCUCGGAGCAGCUCACAGGGCUGGCAGCUGUGCUGAGCCUGGUGAACUGACUCGCGCUGCAGGCACGGUGGCACAUGGACGCCAAGCGCUAAGAAUUUCUGGAAUGCAGAAUUGCAGGGCACUGAUAGAGUCUGCUUUGUUCCCCUCUGUGACUUGACCCAUUGAGAAAAUGUGGUUCCCUAGGAAGUUUUAAUAGUUCAAAGUCCUUAGUUAAUAACGAAAAAGGCCACAACAUAAUUCAGCUUGUUUUCACCUGCUGCCUCCAAGAUUAACUUUCCUAACCUUAAUGGGAAAGAGUUACCCUUGGCUUUGAGAGAGUAAUUUAUGGAGCUCUUCACGUUAGUUUGGGUAAACAUGACACUGUUUGUGUGCAUUUUGGUCUUGUUUCGGGUUUGGUGUCACUAACUCCUAAGACUUCUGCCACUUCAGAGCCUAUGGUCACUUCAUCUAAAAGCAAACCCCGGGAGAGGCGGCCCGCUUCUCGGCCCUCGCUUGGUCCUCCCUCCCUGGGAAGGGCGGCGGAGCUUCGCCUCGGGUCUCCCUCCUCCGUCUUCCUACGAGGACGGGAGCGGAGCGCCCCGCGCGGAUCUGCGGCGAGCGCGCCCCCGUCCAGCCGUAGGCGCUGCGCUUUGCAGGGCAAGUUCCGAUCCGCGAGGCGCUCGUGCCGGGCGGGCCGCGUGCUCGCUCUCGGCCUCUCCGAUGGGCGACGAGGGGCCGCCCGGGAGCGGGGUUCGGGGCGCAGGCGGUGGAGGACAGCAGCACGCAAGCCCUCUCUCGGCGGAACCCGGAGCGCGGGAAGCGGACCAUCGCCUUUUCGCCGUCUGAGUCCGCCGGCACGCGGCGUUGCGGUCAGGGCGCCCACUGCGUCGGGCCAGCGCGCCCCGCGCGGCCUCCCCGAGGACGCAGGCACCUGCGGGCCCGGCCCGGUCCCCGCGGGAGCCGCCUCGGCCGACACGUCUCCAGGCGACCUCCGCGGCUCACCCGGCCUUGGAGCGCAGAGGAGCCCGCGCCCCGGCAGCGGGCGCCUGUAAACACCCGACUGGAAGCCGUGGGCGGCGGGCUUUCAGUCGGGUGUCUGCAGCCGCCGCCUGCCCCGCCCCGCGCCGCGCUCGGCUGGCCGUCUCUGCGGCGCACUGCGCAAGCUGGGGAGGCGUCCGCGGAUGGCUCCGGACCAGCCCCGCGCCUCCGCGGGAGCCUGAUCUGCGCGCGCAGGAAGCAGUGUGAAGAGGCAGAGAAAGGAGGUUGUUCCUGCAACGGCACGUGCGCGGCCGCUCUGAAACUCCAGAUGUGCUGAGGGGUUGAACAGCUGAGUGAACAGAAUGUGCUGGUGUUGUUGGAGUUGGAAGCCAGAGUUUUCACUGUGGAAGGACACACAAAUAUGAAAUGAUGGAAGGUAUCCACCUAGAAUUAUUAUUGCCAGUCGCACUCGGCUGGUGACCACAGCUUAUGUCAGCAGCCAUGACGCCGUGUCCCAGCUGCGGGACAGCCCACCUGAGGGACAGCAGAGGAGGCAGAAGAGACCCUCACUCCCAGAGCUGCCGCUGCCGGAAACAGGCCUUCCCGUGCCUGGGCGUGGUCUGGGCUCCAUCCACAGGAGCAGUCUUCUGGGAAGCAGGGCCAGCCCAGUCACCAACCGGACAGGCCAGGCUGGUGAGGGCGGAAAACGUCAUCUGAAAGCCGUCCUUCCCAGGGCUUCAGAAAAGGCGAGACUGCCCACCGACGGCCCAAGAAAGACCUGUGUGUCCUGCAGCCUCGAGCUCUGCUUUGCAGGCCUGAGCUCACCACUGUCUGGCAGGCGUCUCUUGCUUCUGAGGCGCCCCUAAAGCACUUUCGCUCUCUGUAGGCGCUUUGACGGCAGCUUCUGCGGGUGGAUUCUGGCCCACAGGAGAGGCUCAGAUGACCGAGUUAGAAUUUGAGGCUCAUCCAGUGUUAAUCUUAGUUGUGUGCACAGUAUCACCCCCAGUUUUAAUGUUUGCUCAAUACUCUUUUCUCUGGAUGAAAAGAGAAGGGAGACUCACACAUCCUGGAGGAAACAUAGGUUUUCUUCUUUUGUCUAUCCCUGAACGGCCAAGGACAGUGCUUUCAAGUGGCUUAUGGAAAGGAUUGAGAGUCGAGGGUAAAGAAGACAGAGAGAAGCUGCUUCCGUUGUCAGCCUCUGAAGUCCAUGAACAGUGAAAGUUCAGCUGAGGUCUACAAAAAUAUUAGCAAUGCCAAAAGGCCGGCAGCCAGGAUGUGUCUUUGUGCAGGAACUGAAUGGCUACCCCAGCUGGAAAAGUUUAAAAACCCUGGCAGGGGUGGAACAGUCCUAUAAAAAAGACAGUGAGAAAGAAGUGUUUCUGAAAUAAUUAGAUUUAUGAACCUGUAAAAGAACGUUCUCCACAGACUCUAAGCCUGUAAGCAUGGGCGUGACGGAAAUGCAAGGAUUUGGAGAUAUUUAUCUAAUUUUUAAAGAUGCUAUUAGUAACAGUGGUUGAAAUGAAUCUGAUGAAACAUGAAAUUUUUUAGUACAAGGAAGUAAUAUGCAUAAUUAUUAGUCAAAAUUUGUUUGCAACAGGCAACUACUUAAAAUUCUAAGAUGAUUCCAAGUUAUUCAAAAUGUUAAUCACAUGACAUCUUAUCAAGAUGGAGAUUUUAACUCAGUAGUAACUUUAAUUAAUUACAUUAAUAAAAUCAUGGUUGGCCUUUCUUAAUUAUUUUAUGCUUCUGAAUAUUUAAAUUAUAAAUAUAUCUGAUUCAUCUUUUUAAAAAAGAUAUUAGUCAACACAGUAAAAAAUUUAGGCUGUAUAAAAUGAAUUGAAACCAAUGCCAAAAGUUGAAGGUGCUCUUUAUAAAGUGAAAUGUGCAUUUUUAAGACAAAAUAUAAGUGACAAAAAUACGAUUAAUGCAAAUAUUUGGGAUUUUAUUUACUAAUCAAAUUAUAAAACACGUAAAUGUUUCAAAAAUGCUUGGUCAAUAAUAAUUUCCUUUUUUACAAGUAGAAUCCGUAGUUUUAGUUUAGCUUUAUCAGAAAUAAAUUUAUUGCUUUUAUUUCUGUAAGGACAACUUUUCUGUUCAAUCAAGUAUCUUAAUAGAUAUUUGGCUGUAAUGACAGAAAAGAAACGGUAGAGGGCACUUUAGUUCUCUAACAAAAUAAAACCAUUCCUAAAACCGUCUAUAAAUCAGGAAAGCAGACAACGGGGAGACCUGAGCUAUCUGGUCAAGGUUAGACAAUAAUGUGACACGAGUUUCCCUGCUCCCCACAGCCUAACGGGGACGUCUCAGGCAAACAGAGUCAUUCCGUAAAUCAACCGGCAACGUGAAAAACAAGUGUUCUCAGACCUGCAGAUCUGUGGACCCAUCAUUUCAAGAGUAUUUCAUUUAAAAAGUACCACAUCUAUUUGGAAAUUGCCUGAUCUACUGAUCGGUAAACUCUCACUGUCUAGAAGUUUUAAGAGGGAGAGUGAGUGCUUUAAACAGGUCGACGAUGCACUGGGGCGUACCUCUCUUGUCUUGGUCCGAUUCCCACUAGGAGCCUAUGACCUCAGACUUGUUACUUAAUCACAAUUUCCUCCCGAAUCGUCUUUGUAAUCAUCGUCGUCAUCACCUCAAGGAAGACGCCUGCUUUCAAGCAGCUUCCACUCUGUUCUAGCUGAAAUAAGGUCAGUAUAAGAAACAGCUCCCAGGAGGGAAAGACAACGCACAGUUAAAUGUAAAUUGUGUUGUUCAGCGUGUACACAAUUCCUGGGCUGCUCGUUCUGAUUGCCUGGCCUCGGUUUUACAUUUUAUACUGAGGUUCUGUACUGGAUGAUGUGGCUGGAUGAAGCUCUGUCAUCCAUUCCUGUUUUGUAUGUUGUUCUAUCAAAUUUGGUGAUCUAGUACCCAAGCUCUCAACAGGUUUACCGCGGUUCUUAACAUCUUGGAGUGUAAAGACCCACUUGAAAUCUGAAGAAGACGUGGAGCUCCUCUCCCCAAAACGCUCUACAAGACAGCUCACUCGAAAUGAGCAAGGUUAACCCCAGGAGGUUCAGGACCCUGAGCUCUGCCACAGGCCCCCUGGUGACCCACAGACACGACGCCAGGAGUCUCCGACAGAGGCGCACGCCACACGGCUCCCACGGGUUCCAGAGUCAUUUCCGGAAAGUUCACGUGUUGCGGUGGGGUUAAGAUGGCGAUGAGGCUGGAGAGGGAGGUGUGCCAUGCCAAGCAAUUUUGGAGUUUUUUCCAUAAGCAACAGGAAGUGUACUGAAGUGUUUAAGCACAGAAGUGAACGAUCUGCAUUUCAAACAGCAAAACCAGAGAGUAGAAUGCAAAAUAAACAGGAGAGGAAAGACAGGAAGCAGAGAGAUCCUCACUCAGUCUGCCAGCACCAUAAUCUGGGCGAGGCACAGGGAGAGCCUGUUUAAAAUCUUUCCAAAACUCCGGAUGCUCCCUUUUCUAAGACAGGCCUACGCUGAUUCCGUGUAAUAAGUAAUGGGACAGAAGUUUCCAAACACCAAGGGACAUUUGGAACUAGACAAAGGAUGUUCUGCAGUUCCCUCGUCUUGUCCUCAGGGCGGCAGAGGGCACUAGCAUGCCUGCCUGGUGGACAGCUUCAGACGCCUGGGCAGCCUGGGAGCCUCCAGGAGGCCAGGCGUGGGCCUCCCGAACACGCAAACCUGGAGGCCUUCGCUCAGCACCCACGGCUUCAGGGAGAAGCGUCUGUCCUCUCACCGUAUCCCUCAGGGCGGACAGGAUGGGCCACUCAAGAUGUUAUUGGAGGCUGGACCGUGAGGAAAUACCUCUGCAUUCUCUAGAAGCCAAAAACAACAAGCAAGCAGAAUUUCUGGUGAGGGAGAUUUCUCACAGAACUGUGGUGAAAAUUUAAUGAAAACAAGCUUUGGGGCCAGCCCUGUGGCCAGGUGGUUAAGUUCACAUGCUCCACUUCGGCGGCCCAGGGUUUCACUGGUUCGGAUCCUGGGCGCCGACACAGCACCGCUCAUCAGGUCAUGCUGAGGCGGCAUCCCACAUAGCACAGCAGAGGCACUCACAACUAGAAUAUACAACUGUACUGGGGGACUUCGGGGAGAAGAAGAAAAAAAAACAUUGGCAACAGUUGUUAGCUCAGGUGCCAAUCUUUAAAAAAAUUUAAAAAACAACCCAAUCUGUAUGUAUGUGUCACUGGUCUUCCAGGAAAUUUGCACAUGGAUCCUGAUAUUGUCACAUAUUGCCACAUCCCAUUUGUUUGCUACAAGAAAGGGAAGAUCAUUAAUGACAUGCUGAGCAUCAGCUGCAGAGAUGUUCUCACUCUUACAGAAGGGAGUUUGGCCAAUGGCCCCCAAGAAUAGGGCCAGAAAUAAGAAUUGGAGAAAAGGGAUUAGAUUCAAGCAUUAGUUUGUUGAUUCUACUCAGAACUUGGCAUUUACUAAGAUGUGGAAAGUGAAACCAACAGUUCCAGACCUCCUGUUGAACUAAACCCACCGCCCCACAGGAGGCUCUGACCAUCUGGCCCAACCCACCUCCAGCCACAUGCCCCCACUGCCCCCUCACAGGCUGUGCUCAGCGACUGAACCGCCACACCCCGACGCCGCUGUCCCCUUGGCCUGGAAGGCCCUCUGAUGCCUCUCCAUCAGACGAAGUCCUCUCCAUCCCCAGGCCCAGUCCCAGAGCCACCUGCUCUGUUAGGCCCUUGUGAAUGCUCCUGCCCACUUGCUGCAAAAACCAAUGACUCGCCCCUCUCCGGGCCGCCUAGGACUGCCUUCACGUGUGUAAUGCUCAUCAAAGCAUCAUCCACACCCAUCUUCCCAUUGCAUUUUGGAAGGAGCCUGGUCUAAUUCCUUUUGUUUCCCAAGCCACUAGCAUGGUGUGGGCACAAAAUAGGAAAUAGAUCAGUAUUUGUUGAAGAAAGACAGGGAGGGAGAGAAAGAAAUUCCAGUCAAGAGGCUGUUAGAGUCAUCCAGACAGAAGGUCUCAUAGGAGCCUAAACAUGGAAAGUGGUGCUGGGAACAGAAAUUCACGAUUAUGAAAAUAGAAGAGAUUAGAUUAGACUGGUGAUUAAAUGCAGGGAAUGAGAGAGAAAUGGGACUUAACGGGUGAUUCCAACCAAGUUUUCUGGCCCAAGAGACUGAGAGAACAUAAACAGAGGGUACUGACCCUGUGGGAGGCGGGCAGCAGGUGAAGUCCUGCUUCAGACUUCUCCCUCCACGCUCGGGCCGCCCCACGUGAGAGGUUAGCAGGUGGUUGUGUGUUCACAGUGAAGGAUCUGAUGAGAGGCCACGUGCAGCAUCCGGGAAGACUCAGGAGCCAAGGAAGGAGAGCAAUUCCGAGAGCGGGACGCCCCAGAGACAGGCUGUUGAGGCUAAGCCGGAGGAGGACUAUGGGGCCACAGCCAUCGCAGCCUCAGAAAGAGCAGCCCUACUGGGGCUGGAGGGUCCCUGGAGUCGUUGGGAGAGGGCGGAACCUCGAGUGUGACGGCGCUCAGAAACGUGAGUCGUAACAGGGACCAGGGGCCUCCACACCUUCUGUGGGUGAUUUCUGCUCCCGACCCAAAUUGUUUUUUAAUUGAAUGUUGAGUUAAUCAGGUUUCAUUAAAGUUUCCACUGCCUACAGCUACUAAGAUAAUUUUUGUUUUUUUAAUUUAAGAAGUUAAAAAUAGAAUCUCUGGAUAGGCCUGGAGUUGGGAUGGGAAAGUAGUUUGGUGACUCAUUUACACUCUCUUCUAAAGUGUACCAUCAAAUUCUAAAUAUGAAUCAACUCACUUUUGUUUUUUUCCAAAAAGAUGAACCCGAAAGACCUUAAAUAGUCCCUUCCACCAAAAGAAACAAAGGCUUGCAUUAAAUCCAGCUGGAAUUGUGUGCUCAGCUGAUCCAAGGCUGAGCCUGGAACGGGUCGGGUUUAACGUGAGUCCCCCCCCGGAAGCCUGGGUGGGCUCCUGUCCCCCGGUUGCCAGGUGGAAUCGUUCAGAGCAGCAGGAGGAGAGCUGAAAUGUCUGCCUUCCUCGCACUGAGUGCGUUUUACCCCCGUCCUCGAUUGAGCCCAAGACGACGAGUGGAUUUUUGACCAUGUUCAGCGAGCCUGGCGCCUCUCUCUACCCGGGGCCAUGCCCAUCUCAGCAGGUUGAUUCCGUUGAACUUAGAAUUGAAGACCUUUGUGUUGUAAUUCGGUUUUAACCAAUUAUGUUUUAAAUAUGUUUUCUGAACUGGCUUGGGGAAAUUCACUAAGAUCUAGUUAAAAAGCAAGCUUUUCAGAGAUCAAAGACAUUAACUAAAUAAUGCAUUCGGGUCAUGUCACCCUGUCAGUGGCUUCCUGGAAAUUCCACUUGAAGAAUUUCUACAAAGGACGCGCUUCCUUCCCAGGGGAAGAUGCAGGAAGCCGAGAUGAAAGAACCUGACAGGGCUAAGAAAACAGAGGGAAGGGACUUCUGCUUCUGCUAAGAACGGCCUGCUAGGCGAUUCCUGCUGAAGACCAACCUAAGGAAGCUGUUUCACAUGUCAUGCCGUUGUUUAGAUAUCUAUCCACGUAUUUUGUUUAGUGCUGACGUACUGUUAGUGCCUGCCUGCUGGAAUGUAAGCCACAGAAAGGCAGGUGGUUUUAUUUUGUCCCCUGACGCGCCCCAAGCACCUGGAACAGUCUGGCUCAUAGGAGCUGGCCCCCAGCUACUCGUUGACGAGUGAAUGAGUGAUCUGAACCGCAGCCCUGGGAGCAGCUCGCCUUCCUCCUGCGAGGAGCUCUCCUCCGCUUCCCGGCCUGCUCCUGUGCUCACAGGCUCAGAACCUCCCCGCCUCCUCCCACCCGCUGACUGCUGGGCCUCUCCCUCCUGGAGGAUGCAGCCCCACCUUCCACCGCCCCAUCCAGGAAGAAGGGAGCCCCCACGGGCCUCGUGUGGAAGUGACAGAAGGCGGCCGAGAGCCCACGUGGUCUUGGUGGCGGAGGGAGAGGAAAAACUGGACGUGAGUCCUAGGAACUAAUCCCGCUGAGACCACAGACUGAGGCAGACGCGGCUUCGCACGGCUGCUGUAGGACGGCGGCAGCGUGCUGGGCUCUGCACGAAUCCAGCCCGCUGGUGUGUGGAGGAUGAUGCUGUUCAGCCCAGGACAAAAGGCAGAGGUUGUGGUACAAAGCGCGUGUAUUCAACCUCUGCGGCUACUGUCCACUCCUCCCCGGCGCCUCACUGGACAGUGAUUGCGGCUCGGGUACCAUAAGUCAGAGAUGAGAAGAUAAGCCACGAAUGUAAGGUGUCGUGCUAUCCGUCCCUGUGUGACACUCGGGCGGCAGAGCCAUCCUGGCCAGAGCAGCGGUCUCAACAGGCUGGGAAGUCAGAGAAGAAGUGGCACUUUCGCUCCCGAGGAGGCCCUCUCCUCGCCGGGUGGCAUAAAGACCCGACAUCCUCUCUCAAGAGACCCUUUGCGGGGGGCAGUCUGACCGACAGCCUGAGCUGCUGGGGCUUCACAGCUGCCGCAGGGCUCGUGGCCGGGCCAGGCUCCUUCCGGCUUCUCCCAGGGAAAGAGGGAGCAGGUAGGGUCCCUCCAGGCAGGCCACCCUGCCCCAAGGGACUUCUCUGACCCCCUUGUCUGGGGACUCCUGGCCUGCCCGGAACUUUCUAGAGCAGCACGAUCUGAGUCUCUUCCUCUCCAGUCCUUCCUUCCGCUUCUGUUCACUCAGCUGUCAGAGCUGCUCUCGGGUCUGAAGCUCCCCUGCCAACUCCUGCUCUCCUCCUCAGCCCCUCGCAGGCGGGUGCCUCCAUGAGUCUCACACCUGACCCUGCCUUGGCAUAGCUCUUAGAGGGCUUGAACUAAGACACCUCCAACAGCCGGUAGAUCCUGCUAACUCACAAAGUCCUUGAUUGUCCCUAUUAAAGACAGAUACUGUGAGUGAAGAUGCCAUGUUCUAAAAGCCUUAUUGGGGAUGAUGCACCCCCGAGUGCAGGCAUCAAAUGCCAUCUCUGAUCAUGUAAUGGAGCCACUGAAGGAGGUUCUUGACUGGGGGUUCAUGGGUGACUUUAGGAGGUCGUGACCCCCUUACAUAUGUGUAUAUUAUGUUGAGUGCAUGAGCAAUUCUCCCUGAAGAUCUAUAGCUUUCAUCACAUUCAUCCACAAAAUUGUCAAUAGUGGUAACUAAUUAUAAGUUAACUCAUAGUUCAAAAGUCAUAUUAACAUGAAAUCUGUAUUAUGACACAUUUUAUGCAAUAAUAAUCAUGCUUCCAUUUUCUACCCCAAACUAAAUGAACUUUAGUCAUCUUUAGAGCCCCGCCAACCAGGCCUCCAGUCCAAAGAUGACCAGUCCUGCAUUCUUCAUCUGAUACUGAACUUGAAAACAAGUCAUGCUCUAAUUUAAGUUGUUACUGGCAUGAAAGAGAGAAGUAAUUGAAAAAUAAGUAGAUUGAUUUUUCGUAAUAGGGGAUUGGCUCUCAGUAGUAGACGCUUCAGCUGUCAGCCCAGACCGUGCUUCGAGUUAACCCACUGGAAGACAGUGGACAAGCACCCCUGGAGCUGUCCUCACAGAGAAAGCUUUACGUCAGCACCACUUGCACCAACUACACUCAGAACAUUUGUGUCAGCAGCAUAAAUGCUGGCAUGUCAGCAUCUCCAUUUUAUACCCCCCAAAUGUGUACGGUUUAAUUAGGCCAAAGACAGGGAAUGGCUGUUGUUAGCUCAACCUGGAAGUAAUGGCUUCCUGAGGGAGACAUUCCCGCCCACCUGGGAACCACCUAACAUUUGUGAGUGAAAAGCCAAACCUUCACUGCUUGUUCCCUGGAGGAAACUGUUCUCAGAAAAUAAUAACUUUACCCCUGAAUCUAGUGGAAUAUUUGUGGUGAGUUGGGAUAAAUAAUUUGGACAACCCCAAACAUCUGUGCUCUGCGACUACCACCUCCAGCCAGACAUUCUGCCUUCCUUCCUGCACACUUUUAUCUUGUUUCUGUGCUCGGUUUAGAUGUGAAAAAGAAAGCUUCUGCAGAGAGGACCAGCAGGUCAACAGCACAGCCCUACGGGCCUCUGUUAGGCUGGACAAGUGAGGCCCUCGAGGGGAGAGGGUUCCCCUGAAGAAAGGGCAGAUCCAGGCGGCAAAGGCUCAUGGACAGACUCAGAGCCCUCUGCCUCUGCCCGGAAUUGUUCUGAGUGUGCUUGGUCCUCACCUUGGCAGAAGAAUCCUGCUCAGCCCUCUCAAUCUCUCAGACCCUGGCAGCAUUGAAAGAUAACUUUAGGAAGAAGUUCAAGUUCACUCUUAGGAAACCAGAGGAGAUGUUGCUGGGGGCCUGGAGGAGGGCAACAGAUGCAUUGGCUGCCAUCUUUUCAGCGACCAAGAGGAGAACUAAAUCCAGAUCACAAAUUGCUUUACUGCUGUCACUGCAGAGCCGUUACGGAAUCUUUCUGAGGAAUUAUAAAGGGUGCACUAAAACCUCUGAAGAUGAAAGAAGGGAAAUGCUUUCCCUGUCUAAUAAAAAGAGAAAAGGAGUGUCGCAGGAUUACAGCCCACUGGACUUACCUGAGCACCAGAGCACUGAUCAAACAAGCCUUUAUAAUGCUGCGGACGGCACACAGCAUUUGGAGAGCAUCAUCCUAGCUAGCAUUAUGUCAGUUUUUUUCUGUUUUGAAGGAAUGACAUGAAGAAAUUGGUUUUGAUGCCAAUAAGCUUCCUGCAUCCAUUGCAUUGGACAAGCAACAUGGUGCCAUAGACCAUGUGUAAGAAGACAUGGAUCCAGCCUUGUCUCUUCCUGGACUCCCCAAGAACCUCUAAGUCACCCGUCCUUUGAUGUCCUGGAGUCUCCUCCAGGAAGAUCAGAUACUACUUCCUACUUGUCAGUAUCCCCUUGACGAAAGCCUUUGAGAAGCUUAGGACUGAGGUCCAAAAUCCCAAGGGUGCUCCUAUCGCUAAUGGACGCCGAAGGGUGGCUGCCUGGCUCACCGGAUCCCCACCUGCUGGAAUUAGUCCCUUUGAUGCAGAAAGUCUGGGAUAGAAAAUGGUCGUAUCUGGACCACAGGAUCCUGUGCCCUAUUCCCUUUGUCCAUAGCUGAUUAGUGCAGGCGUGGACGCUUCAUUCAAACCGGGCGGAUCAAAUUCUCUCCAGGAUACCAAAAGGAGAGACAGAGAGGCACACAGAGGUUGAGACGGGUCAAUCUAGAGAGUCCUAAGACACUAUUAAAGUGUGAAACAACAGAGUAGAAUAGAUCUUAGGGCACCGCUCCUGGCCCUGCCCGCAUGCAUCGGAGCGGCCUCCUCACAGUGCUCGGGACUAGCGGGGGCCUGCAGUGCUGGACAGGGACGCCCAGGUCCCAUUUCCUAUUUCUCCCCUUUGGGAUGCUCCGUUCUACAUCCCGCACCCCACUUAGGAUCAACUACAUGUCCCCAAAGAGUUCUGAGACUCAUGCCUGUGGGGUCACCCUGGGGCCCACGGCUGGCCUCCAGCUCCAGCAGGUGGCCUGGGGAGGGAAUUACUCUUGCUAGCUGGCACAGUGUUUCGUUCAUGGAACUGCGUGGACUAGGCUGCCAGGAUGGUGCUGACGCAUUCAUUUGGGAGCCCUGCACAGCCUAUUGGUCCCCGUUAGAGAGCAUUACUAGUGGUGAGAAUAAAGUUCACAUUAUGAGACUUUUGUUUCGUAUGUAUAUUUACAUAAUUUGUAUAGUUAUUUGUAUAAAUCUUAUAAUAAAUAGAAAUGUUUAUAUAGUGUAUGUUUAUAUAUAAAUUUGUAUCUACAUGUAUUGAUAUAUCAUAAAUUUCUUAUUGUAGGUCAUAGUAAAAAAUACUGCCCUUGGUGAACUACCACCUUCACCUAAAAAUAGAUUAAUAUCUGUAAAACCAGUGUUGGUAAAUGGAAGUACAACACAUGAUACAAUGUAAAGCUUAGCUCAGUCAAUGCAAGUUAGAAAAGGUAGACACAGAGGAGAAACACCUAUAACAAGAUGUCUGUUUAUAAUUCCAUUCACG
rnacentral:lncRNA from 1 species